AUUCAAUAUAUUGCCUCUUUAAUAUUAAGCUGGUCGUAUAUAAAUAAAAUUAUUUUCUCUUCCAAAAAUAUACUAUGACUCUAUUCUCAACAAUAUUCUGCUGCUUCAAGUGGAAGAAAGAUAAAAACUCUUGGGUGGAUGCAGGUUCUUUAUCAAAAAAAUCAACACUAAAUAUCCAACCAUCUGCAGCUCCUAUUGUUGUUUCAUAUUUCCCUGUUAAUUCUCAACCUUCUCGUUUGUAGUCAAUCUAAUUGCUGAAGUAAAAUAUUUAAUUUAUUUGUGUUUGUGAAUUAGUUUUUGACAGAAUAUAAGAAAAACGAAUGUUUUAGAAUCAGUGCAUUUCAAGCUACAAGCUCCUUUCUCUUUAGUACUCUCUAAAAGUUAACUUACAGAUCAUAGAAUCAAUUAGAAUAUCAAUAUAUCUAUUGUCAAAUCAUGGGACAGAUUGAGAUCUUUAUGCAUUUUAUCAAAUAUAAGAGUUAGUAGUUCUUACUAUAAAAAUUAGUUAGUGCAAAAGAACUUUGUUCAGUCAAUUGCUACAAUGACUUGGUUCACAAGAUGUGCUCUCAUAAAUUCACUUAUAUGUUUUUUUCAUUUAAAUUAUGAAAGAAUGUUAUAGUUUAUGGAUGAAGAUCUCCC
rnacentral:lncRNA from 1 species